ACGCUGGCGGCAGGCCUAACACAUGCAAGUCGAGCGGUAGAGAGAAGCUUGCUUCUCUUGAGAGCGGCGGACGGGUGAGUAAUGCCUAGGAAUCUGCCUGGUAGUGGGGGAUAACGCUCGGAAACGGACGCUAAUACCGCAUACGUCCUACGGGAGAAAGCAGGGGACCUUCGGGCCUUGCGCUAUCAGAUGAGCCUAGGUCGGAUUAGCUAGUUGGUGAGGUAAUGGCUCACCAAGGCGACGAUCCGUAACUGGUCUGAGAGGAUGAUCAGUCACACUGGAACUGAGACACGGUCCAGACUCCUACGGGAGGCAGCAGUGGGGAAUAUUGGACAAUGGGCGAAAGCCUGAUCCAGCCAUGCCGCGUGUGUGAAGAAGGUCUUCGGAUUGUAAAGCACUUUAAGUUGGGAGGAAGGGCAGUAAAUUAAUACUUUGCUGUUUUGACGUUACCGACAGAAUAAGCACCGGCUAACUCUGCGCCAGCAGCCGCGGUAAUACAGAGGGUGCAAGCGUUAAUCGGAAUUACUGGGCGUAAAGCGCGCGUAGGUGGUUCGUUAAGUUGGAUGUGAAAUCCCCGGGCUCAACCUGGGAACUGCAUUCAAAACUGUCGAGCUAGAGUAUGGUAGAGGGUGGUGGAAUUUCCUGUGUAGCGGUGAAAUGCGUAGAUAUAGGAAGGAACACCAGUGGCGAAGGCGACCACCUGGACUGAUACUGACACUGAGGUGCGAAAGCGUGGGGAGCAAAC
rnacentral:rRNA from 1 species